ACAAUACAUAUCCUCAUCGCAAUGUCUGCUGCAAUGGGAGGAUCGCCAUCAAGAGAACCGCCGAAACCAGAACCGAAACCGAAACCACUUCUCACUAAUCCAUGGCGUGAAGUUGAAUUUAGUGAUGAUGCUUACAUGAAACUUCAAGAAGAAAUAAAAAAAACACCAACCACACCCUAAGGCUUCUGGGAAGUCAAGCUUUCUAAAUACUGUGCUCUCAGAACUCAGGAGAGAAGAAUUCAACGACAGAGUGCAAAGCUUUCAAACCACGAGACAAGGUGCAGAAACAAGCGUCACACAACAUGGAAGUGUUUAAAUUCCAACACCUCCUACACUUCUCAUCUAGUGUGCUUAAUUACUGUGUCCUGUCAUCUCACUGGCAGUAACAGCAGAGGAAAAAGCAGCAAGUGCACAUGAGGUUCAGGUGCUUUAAGCCGAGGGGACGCUAGUCUACAUGUUGCUAGAAAAAUGUAGAAAGGGAGAUAUUUUCUUGUAUACACAUAUCCUGCCAAUCAGACCUGAAGCUGCAGUGUUACGUGAACACAAGUAUAUAAAUCGAUAUUAUUUCAAAACCAUACUGCAAUUUUAAUAUAAACAGUGAACGCUUACCUUCCA